CAAUUCAUCUGAGGGGAAGGAAAACAUUCCUGUCAUCCUCAGGGAGGUUGUGAUUUCUACAUCCCUUUUCACUUGGUUAAUCAUCCCCUAAAGUCACUUCCAGGGGUGCAUUGUUGUUUUCCCAGGUUUUCAAGAUGAAGAAAUUUCUGCUGAAAGAGGCUCCCUGACUUUUCAGAGGUUAUCUAGGGAUUCAUUAACAGAAUAAAAAUUAGGCUCCAGUUGAUGUCACUAAACAUGGCUAUCCUCUGCUUCUUCCUGCUUCCCUCAGUCCAAAAAGGUUCUAAAUAAGGAGAUAAUAUCAUUAAAGACCUCCAGGGAAAACCCAAAUGAAUCAAAUCUGAAGAAAAGAUGAAGAUAAAUUCAUCAGACAAAUUGAGAUAGCUAAGGAAUGUGUGGUGUUCAGGAGACAGCAAAUUAGACUGCCAUUUGUAAGUAACAAGAUAGGGCAAUAAGAACGGCCAGGGAUAUUCUGGUCUGCGCUCAGAGAGGGGGAGUGUAACAUGAAGAGAAAGCGAGGGUGCUGACAGAACCACACACUGAGAUCAUGCCUAUUCUGGGGGACUCAUUUUGGGGUCCAUGAACAUCCAGCUUGCCGCCUUUUUGGAAGAACUCCCAGAAGCCACACACAGAGAUGGAUCAAUAGCCACUUACCUCUGAAGGCAGGCAGAGCUGAGGCAAGUGUCCUGCAAGUGUGAUGCAGAGGCCUGAAAGAGGAGAUACUGAGAUGGCCCCAGAAGUGCGUGGAGAGUGCUAGCACGCUGAGGGGGACAGCAGACUACAAGAUGUUGGCAUCUUGAUGAAGGAGGAACAGUAUUCCAACCAACUGUAGCAAAUGUAGCCAGGAUAGACUCCAAUAUAACCAAUAACCAGAGCCUCGCAGUGGGAGACAGUUCUGCCUCUUGACAAGGACCUGGAAAAUAAAUAGAAGAACCCCAAUCCCCACACACUCACACUGCACAUGACAACAUGGCAUUAAGUGAGCUCCUACUGUACACUGUAGGUCAGAGAAAAGACAGAGAUAUCUUUGGAGAGCUUUGGAACAACCAUGCUAAGAAGAUUAAACUAUAAAUUGAAUAAGUUCAAAAUUGUAAUAUGAAUACAUUUUUACCUCAAAGAGAAUAUUUUAAACAGGUUGUGACUGGAUAAACUAUCUUAUAAAUAUGAGAUCAUUUUUAUUUUUUGCUAGUGAUCCAAGGGGGAUUCAGAGGUAGACUGAGGUCAGCUAUGAAAAAGUAGCACCAUUACAUUUCUGCACAUGGGCUUAAAUAAUGUAAAGUAAUUGUGAAUGCUCUGAAAUGUAGGGUCAUGGAUAACUUCCUGAAGAAAAUGGGAUUCUUGCACAGCUUAAGAGCAGUCCCAUGAUUUUAUACUUUGGAAGCAAAACAGGUUAUUAUGUACAAGCCAUAGGUGAAGUCUCACUUAAGGGAUUCAGAAACUCUAUAUGAUGGACCCAAUGACAUUUUGAGGAUCAUGGAGGUUGGCAUAUCUUGCCUUAGAGAGUAAGAUUAAAAGUUAAGACUGCUUGGGGCUGGCGCUGUAGCACAAGGGCUUAAAGCCCUAGCCUGAAGCACCGGCAUCCCACAUGGGUGCCAGUUCUAGUCCCGGCUGCUCCUCUUCCUAUGCAGCUCU